GUGUGAUUUCCUGCAGAGUCCACAUUGUAAACUACAGGAUCUGAGGUUGAGGGGCUGCAGUUUGUCAAAAAUCAGCUGUUCUUAUCUGACAGCAGCUCUGAAGUCCAAUCCCUCACAUCUGAUAGAACUGGACUUAAGUCUGAACAACCUGAAGGAUUCAGAUGUUAAAGAACUGGCGGACCUUGUUCAGAGUCCACACUGUAAACUGGAGACACUGGAAUGGAAGUGAUCUGUGGAACAGUCACUGUGGUCAGGACUGUGUGAGGAUCAGCUGAGUCCAGAUGAUCGACAGAUGUGAAAGCAGCAGCACAUCCUCACUUCUUC